rnacentral:rRNA from 1 species
GUUGAACGCUGGCGGCGUGCCUAAUACAUGCAAGUCGAGCGAAGCGGGGACGGGUGAGUAACACGUGGAUAACCUCCCAUAAGACUGGGAUAACUUCGGGCAACCGGAGCCAAACCCGAUUCUUAUAGAUGGAUCUGCGCUGCAUUAGCUGGUUGGUAAGGUAACGGCGUGCCAAGGCAACGAUGCAUAGCCGACCUGAGAGGAUGAGCGGCGACACUGGAACUGAGACACGGGCCAGACUCCUACGGGAGGCAGCAGGAGGGAAGAUGGCACAAUGGGCGAAAGCCGGACGGAGCAACGACGCGUGAAUGAUGAAGGGCUUCGGAGCGUAAAUCUCUGUUAUUAGGGAGGCGGUACCUGGUCAGGAAGCCACGGCUAACUACGUGCCAGCAGCCGCGGUAAUUC